CCCGUGGUGCGGGGUGGGAGGAGACGGGGAAGGUUUUAAAAGCCACCGGGCCCCGCGGCGGGCCGGCCAGUGAGUGGGGCGCAGCGCGGCCGGCGGCCACCCUGGGCCGGCCGGAGUCGGGAGGUCCCCGGCGCCCCGAGAGCCCGGCUCCCCUCCCCCCGCGGGUGCCACCCUCCAGCUCCACCUGGUGAUCCCCCGACCCUGUGCCAUGGCCGGCUGGGGUUCCUGGGGAUGGGAUUUGCUGCCUGUCACAAAUCACAUUGCCAGGGAUUUCCAACCGACCCUGUGCUCUGCCUCCGGGGGCCACUGUCACUG
rnacentral:lncRNA from 1 species